AAUGGUUUGGUCCAGGGAAGGUUGUUAGAAAUUUCUUUCACUUCACAAGCUUGCAAAAGACCUGGGUCUCAACUUCCAGCAAAUCGAGAUGGAGAAUUUUUUAAAACCAUAAUUAGAUUUUCAAAAAAAUAAGAACAUUCCUUCGAAGAAGCUGUUAUCCAGCAUCAGAUCUCUGAAUGCCGCUGACUGAAAAGCGGGCUUUUGCAUGCAAGGUGGAAAUCUAUAUUCAGUUGCAGGUAGACCAAUUUGCUACUAAGUUGGUUUCUCCAGCCUCGGCUGUGAAAAAGCAGCAUCCUUUGGGAAGCAUUUUGCACUUACUGCAAUAUUCCAGCGAUGCCAAGUCACAAUCUCAGUGAGCUCCACACUUACUCAGGUAAAUUCAACUAAUUCAUGUGCUAUGUUAGCUAAAUGGAAAAAUAUUGAUUCAACCAUUCUGCUUACAAAGAUUGUUAGAUUUUAUACUAAGUCAGAAUUUCAUCUGCCUCCUUUCUGACAUUUGUGUAAAGGUUGGAUGCCUAUAACACUGAAAAUAAUUUAUAAUAUACUGACCUCUAUGAGCUUACAGUGGUAUAGUGCUGUAAGCUAUUAACAUCCUUAUUUACCCUGAGAGGAUGCAGGAUAGUUA